rnacentral:rRNA from 1 species
CAGCACCUCAAGUGGUCAGGAUGAUUAUUGGGCCUAAAGCAUCCGUAGCCUGCUUUGUUAGUUUUCGGUUAAAUCCAUACGCUCAACGCAUGGGCUGCCGGGAAUACUGCAAAGCUAGGGAGUGGGAGAGGUAGACGGUACUCGGUAGGAAGGGGUAAAAUCCUUUGAUCUAUUGAUGACCACCUGUGGCGAAGGCGGUCUACCAGAACACGUCCGACGGUGAGGGAUGAAAGCUGGGGGAGCAAACCGGAUUAGAUACCCGAGUAGUCC